GUAUUUUCUCUUUUUUGACAAAACAGAUUGACGCUCUGUCGGCUCGUGUGCAGAGUAUUCUUGCUGUUUGGGGGAGAAGAUAUUCAUGGACGUCGAGGGCUUUGGUGUUUUUAUGUUAUGUGAUAUGACUAACUGCAAAGAUGCCUAAAAAAGAGAGGAGAAUCAAACAAACAAAGAAUGAGCUGCUUGAGGCCUCAAAAGGCAGUGGAUCCAGUUCCAGCUGGUUUAUGAAAAGCACAACGGAUGGACGGAGAGGGGAAAGUAAAUCAGAUGAUGAGAUGGAGACAGAGACUGUAGAGAAAGAGGGAAAUUAUGACUCUAGCGACAGAGAAAACACUACAAGGAACAGUAAGCCAUGAGGCAGAGGCUGUAGAGAAAGAGGGAAGUGUUGAGACUCAGGCGACAGAAACAGUGCAGGAUGAAGCAAGCUAGGAGAAGGAGACAGAAGCCAGAGAGGGGCUAUUCUCAAACCUACUUGGACUUUAACACCCAACUGACCGUGCUCACAUCCUAAAAUUCAAUCUUAAGUACGAUGAGGCCUUCAUUCAAAUGUGUGAUAAUAUUGGACCCUGCAAACCAGUCCUAUCUUUUCACAAGAACGUAGAGGGACAUUCAUUUCAGAAGAAGUGGUAUGAAAAUAACCCAUGGCUAGAAUAUUCUCCUAGCACUGAUGCCAUGUUUUGUUUCAGUUGCCGUGUUUUUAUGAAUUAUGGACAAUACAAGAGUCACACAAACUGGAAAGCUGUACGGUUAGAUCGCUGGAGGAAGGCUUUAGAAAAAAUUAAAGAGCACACUGCCUAAGAGUCUCACAUGUGUGGUAUGAUGAGGUGGAACUCAUUCAAGAAAAAAAUUCUGGAGGCAGCUUUUAAAGUAGGUGACGAUUUAAAAACCUUGCAGCUCUUGGUGUGCAGCAGCCACUGUAAGCAAUCACCCUUGGCAUCAACUGCAGCACUACAGUAGAGAUGACCUCCUGCCACAUCAGCAGGACAUCCCCAGAAAACACAUCAAAAUCAGCUGCUCCCUGAACACUGUUGAAGUACUUUGGAGCACAACCAACUCUACCCGCCCUGUUCUUAUGUUUUCUUUCAUUAUUUAAGUAUCUAUUUUUCUGUAACAUUCUAUUUUUGAUUAUAUGAAUGUUUGUCUAUUUUGGUUUUAUUUAAAAGAUUGCACAUUUAAUUUACAUUUGCAUUUGCACAUUUGCAAAUUAUUUAUUUCUUGUUUUGUGACAGUUUGUAUUCAGAAGUUUAAGAGUAAAGUCUUUUAUUUAAGUAUCGUAUUGAGUAUUUUUAUGUAUUUAUUUUGUAUUAAUACAUAACCUCACUGUAUUAAUUUAUAAUGUAACAUAAUAGCGUGAGAUUUGUGUCAAUAAUCUUCAAGCACAGGUGACUUCGCGUGCUGGGAGGGGGGCCCCCAAAUCAAAUUCUGCUUUGGGCCUCCAA